GCGACAAAAUGGCGCCGGGCGGGCAGCGGGGGGAAGGACGGACAGACGGACGGAUGCGCGGUCUGCGGGGGCCGGGGCGGCGAGCGUGGGCUUCAGCCGUGCCAGGAGCACGCGGAGGGGCUCCUCCUGAUGGGUUGAAGCCACCACCUCCAGCUCUGCUCACGGCAUGGAAAAUACCCAAAAGGCGCUUAAAACAAAAAAAACACCAAAAAACCCCAAAACACCCGAGGAUUGAUGGAUCUUCCGAGCCCAAGUGGUGCGGGGAAGAAGCUGUCGCCGCUCGCCUUGCUCCCCACGACAACCUGCCCACGAUUCGGUUAAUUAAAAGCAUAUACUUGGUGUGAUCAGAUGUGUUAAUACCAUUAAAAAAAAAACAAACAAUAACCAACGUAACAUCCAGACGCUCGUUGUUGGAGGCUGCAGCCAAGGGAAAUACAGGAUUGUUUGUGUAACCCCUCUCCACAGCAGAUACCUUCUUUGGAUGUGGUGGUUUGGAGAUACGCCUCGUGCUCAUCAGAGGCCGUUGCUGGCAUGGAGGUACGGUGGACGAAGAAGCUGGCUGUUUGGGAUGUUUCCACGUUUUUCAGGUUGGCACACCCUGUGGGACUCGGAAUUACUUUUCUUUGGCAGUUCAGGACAAACGAGUGAGAAUUACCUUGUGAGCGCUGAACUUUUACCACCCUCUGCUUUGGACUGAAGAGUUAUUAGAACUACAUCCAUGAGAUUUCCAAACUAAACAAAACCUGAAUUUCCGGUGCCAAAAAGUAAGCGAGCGACAGAAACCUCCGCUCCUCCUCCAUAAGGGGGGAAACCAGAGUCUUUCAAGCUUUCUUAUUAUCCCGAAGAGUGAAAAAGCUGCAUUGUGAGAUUUGCAGAGGUAAAACGAAAGCCAAAGCUAGCCAAGAAACUCUUCCCCUGCGCCGUAUUGCUGGAGGGGUUUUCGAGCGCAGCAGGUCUUGAUGCGCAAUAUUUUUCUUUUGUGCUUUCCUCUGAAGGGAAAGAGCGAUAACCACGCAAACGCGCAUUCAGUCCGCUCCGUUUAAAACGCCAUCGAGUUGCUUUGGUAUCCCAAUGGUGUUUGAUGAAGCCAAAGCUCUGAUGGUGGCUGGCUUGGUAUUUAUUUUGUGCUGCGUGUGCCGACCAAUCCCAUGGGGAAUGUGGGGAAGAGCAGCCUUUAACUCACAGGUUUGGACUGUGGGUUUUGUGUUAAAACCUUGCCCUGCAACAUCUCCAACGUACGUAAUUUCUGUGAUUUUUCCUGGGCAUUGCACGCGGGGCCUUUAUGUAAAGGUAAUACAACAAUUUGGUGUUAAAAAUGGCAAAGUACGGGAUACGGUGAUCUGUCCAGUCCUAGGGGAUUUAUAUCCUUUGCAGUUGUCAUGUUCGCAUAUCAAAUCACAUGGGGCUGGCUUUUUUUGGUUUUGUUUUCUUUGUUUUUCCCCUAAAAUGUAAUAUUUUGCAGCCUGGAAGACCAAAGUCCUCUCUGUCUAGCUGAUUAAAUGCCUUGUGUUUGGGAAAACCCCUUGUGAGGUGAGCAAGUACACAGCUCUUCGGCACGUGGUCGCACAGAAGUUGGGGGGCAAGGGGAAGCAGGGCAGAAGCCGGCACUGUGAUAUUUCUAAUUUUUCCCAACAACAGGCAAAAAAAUAGGUAUUAAUUCUAAUAGAUCUACUACACCGUAAGCAAGAGUAAGCUCUUUUGCAGUCCUGUGACGGCACAUGGUGUUUUGGUUGCGUGGCUCAGCGAUCGCGCCGUACUCUGCUGCUGAAGAAACAUCUGUUUUUGUAUCGCAACGUAUUUUGAAAACAGAAGUGUGCUUUUGUGUAUAUAUAAAUGGGUUCAGUGUAAACCGAAUUCCAGGGGGCUCCUGAGCUGUGUUUACUGUGCUGCAGAAGGUAACGUGUGCUAACCCACCGGCUACAGUGCCAGUAUUUUGUGGCAGCUCCCAUCCCUGGUACUGUGUGGAUAAGAACACCACCAUGAAGUCUGGUGGGGAAGAGCAUUAGAAAAUAAAUUACUAAAUACUGGCUUUCAAAAACGUGAAGGGAGUUUUCUGGACAGCGUCAUCUCGUCGUGAAGAUUUGGAGCGCUAACCCUCAAAGAGGAAAGAACUGAAAUCAAUAGUUUUAUUAAUACAAAUCCUAUACUUUGUGUUGCUUAGGAUCCCGAACCAGGCUUCGCAUUCAAAGCGUUACCAGCAUGUAAGCCAAUAUCCCCUGUCUUGGCAACAAAUGAGCCUAAAUAUCAAACAGCACCAAUUCCUUCUUGGAGAAAAUUAUCCAUUGCGUAAAAUGUAAUGGGUAAGCAAUAAAAUUAGGCCAGUAAUUCAGGCUGGCUUAAAAAUGAGAUAAAAGCCUAGCUGGCAAUUUGAUAUUCGGCUGCCAUACUGUCAUUUUAAUCAAUAUAGUCAAUGAGCAGGAAAGGCACGUAAAUACAUUUUAUAAUGACAAGAUGGUGGCUGGAGCGGGCUGGCUCGAACAAAGAAACGCUGCGAGUGUUUCUGGUGAUGUCUGAGGGCUUUUGUCUGGGUAACCUACUGUUUUUCUGUAAAAAGCAAAGCAAGCUGGAUGCGUACUGGACGCUGGUGGGGAUAAUCACUGCGUGCUGCUAAUGCGACAGCUCUAAUCCAUGCAAGUCCCCGGUCAACGUAGCUGGCCGGUGUCCCCAACUACGGGGAGAGGUAUCAUGCCUCCCUUCCCCACCUCCGGCUGCGCUGCUGCGAGCACAGAACGCGCAGCUAUUGCUAAGCCAGAACCAAGGAUAGGAAGUUACGGUCUUCACAAAUAUAGCUCUGGUUGCUGUCCUUGUUUGGUAUCUAAUCUUUGCUUUUUUUAAAUGUUUGGAAAGCAGUCCCGGCGACACGUGGCAGCGAGCUCCACCACUUGGAGUCGAUGGCUUUGUUUGCAAUCCGUGGAUGUCCCUCCCGGCCAGCCUGCCUGCAAGAUGGCCGUGUGACAGCAGUGACCCCGCGUGAGGUUUCUUCGAAGGACCUGGGAGCCGGCGUGGUUUUCUCGUGUCCCUUGGAGGUGCCACCCUAGCAGGGAGGGAGGAGAAGACCGGUUGGCGAUGCUGUCCCAGCAAGCACGCUCGAUUGGAGAGGGGAGAAUUCGGCAUCAAAAAGCCGUUUGAUGUGUGGUUUGGGUUUCUUCCUCUCCGAAAUGGAUGCCUGUAGAGCCCGUUGAAGGUGUAGAGACGUAGCGACUGCUCUUUGGGCUUCUGACCAGUUAAGAGAGCUGAGCCCAUUUCCACAGAGAAGAAACGUGCGGUGGGAAGUGCUGGUGGAGCGCGUUGGCAGUGCAUUUUCUCGUGCGCGCGUGGCUCCAUCACGUUUUAAAUAAUAGAUGGUUUGCG